UUGAAAGGGAAACGAUUGAAGUCAGUCGUACCGACGGAGAAUCAACCUUUGGAGUGCGAGUCGAGGUAUUCGAGGAGUUUAAAAGCCUUCGUGUGCUCAUGUAUUCGUGCUUCUUGGGUGCACUUCUUCGUAUUGGUAGGUUAACAUCAAUUUUGGACGUUACAAAAUGACUGGGGGAAUGUAGCUUCGAUUUUUCGAAGUGUUAUAGCCCUUGGUAGAUGUGACGACCGGGAUUGAGGAUUGCAACGAAUGCUUUCGGGCUAUCCGUCUGNCUCUGGUGGUUGCUUUGGGGUCGAAAGCGUGCUUACGGCNNNNAAGUUGGCUAUCAAAAGGCUAGAACGUGAUUAAAUUCGUUAAGGAUGUUGACGUA
rnacentral:rRNA from 1 species